rnacentral:rRNA from 1 species
GACGAACGCUGGCGGCGUGCUUAACACAUGCCAGUCGAACGGAAAGGCCCUGCUUUUGUGGGGUGCUCGAGUGGCGAACGGGUGAGUAACACGUGAGUAACCUGCCCUUGACUUUGGGAUAACUUCAGGAAACUGGGGCUAAUACCGGAUAGGAGCUGCUGCUGCAUGGUGGGGGUUGGAAAGUUUCGGCGGUUGGGGAUGGACUCGCGGCUUAUCAGCUUGUUGGUGGGGUAGUGGCUUACCAAGGCUUUGACGGGUAGCCGGCCUGGGAGGGUGACCGGGCACAUUGGGACUGAGGUACGGCCCAGACUCCUACGGGAGGCAGCGGUGGGGAAUAUUGCACAAUGGGCGGACGCCUGAUGCAGCAACGCCGCGUGCGGGAUGACCGCCUUCGGGUUGUAAACCGCUUUCGCCUGUGACGAAGCGUGAGUGACGGUAAUGGGUAAAGAAGCACCGGCUAACUACGUG